CUUUCCUACCGCGGUAAAAUUUAUUAGCUACUGCCAACACUAAUAAAAGAUCGCGGUUGGCCUGAAUUAUUUCGACCAAUCAAUCAAAAGCACUCUUUACGGCAACAAAGAUGGAGGCAUCCAGUUCUGUUGCAGUACCGACGGUAGGACUGCCUAAGGAUGGAUCAAACAAUAUUGGAGGUGCAAUUUGCGGCAUACCGAGGGACACUCAAUUACCCCCAUGGCAGGGCAGGACCCCCCCCCCUGGCCCCCAGUGAAUGCCGACUUGUUCUUUUCUGCAAUGAAGACUUGUUUAGGGACGUCUUGGCAUCUAAGUGCAGAAUUUGAAGCAAAUGUGACAUCAACCCUCUAGACCGAUGAGAGAAACAACACUGAACUUAAAUUUCGGAUAUAACCCUGAACAAUUGUCAUCAAUCACAUGACAUGCUGCUCACCACUAGAGGAAGACCCCUAUUGAAUUUGGCUUUGAUUCCUCUAAGUAACUGACCAGACACUAGAAGGUCCAGGUGCUGAUAAACUACACAAGAUCAAGUCCUGGUGUACUACACCCUACAGUGUUUCUGGCGGCUGGUGGAGCGAUUAAAGAAAAGCCAUGCUAAUGUUGCAAUGAUAUGUAUGCUAAACAAAAUAAAUAAAUUAAAAAAAAAA